rnacentral:rRNA from 1 species
UACGUAGGGUGCAAGCGUUGUCCGGAAUUAUUGGGCGUAAAGAGCUCGUAGGCGGUUUGUCGCGUCUGCUGUGAAAACUCGGGGCUUAACUCCGGGCCUGCAGUGGGUACGGGCAGACUAGAGUGCGGUAGGGGAGACUGGAAUUCCUGGUGUAGCGGUGAAAUGCGCAGAUAUCAGGAGGAGCACCGGUGGCGAAGGCGGGUCUCUGGGCCGUAACUGACGCUGAGGAGCGAAAGCGUGGGGAGCGAACAGG